UCGAGGAUUUUUCUCAAUGGGCGAAAGCCUGAAGGAGCGACGCCGCGUGGGGGAUGAAGGUCUUCGGAUUGUAAACCCCUGUCAUCUGGGAACAAUGUGAUCCACCUAACACGUGGAUUAUUGAUAGUACCGGAAGAGGAAGCCGUGGCUAACUCUGUGCCAGCAGCCGCGGUAAUACAGAGACGGCAAGCGUUGUUCGGAUUCAUUGGGCGUAAAGGGUGCGCAGGCGGCUCGUUAAGUCGGAUGUGAAAUCUCACAGCCUAACUGUGAUAGGUCAUUCGAAACUAGCGGGCUCGAGGACUGGAGAGGAGACUGGAAUAGUCGGUGUAGCGGUGAAAUGCGUAGAGAUCGACUAGAACACCGGUGGCGAAGGCGGGUCUCUGGACAGUUCCUGACGCUCAGGCACGAAAGCCAGGGGAGCAAACGGGAUUAGAUACCCCCGUAGUCC
rnacentral:rRNA from 1 species